rnacentral:misc_RNA from 1 species
UACGGAGGGUGCGAGCGUUGUCCGGAUUCAUUGGGUUUAAAGGGUGCGUAGGCGGGUCUUUAAGUCAGUGGUGAAAGCCCACAGCUCAACUGUGGAACUGCCAUUGAUACUGGGGACCUUGAGUUCAGUUAAGGUAAGCGGAAUUUAUGAUGUAGCGGUGAAAUGCAUAGAUAUCAUAAAGAACACCGAUUGCGAAGGCAGCUUACUGGGCUUGGACUGACGCUGAGGCACGAAAGCGUGGGGAUCGAACAGG